rnacentral:misc_RNA from 1 species
GGUCAAUAAGAAUGAAAAUCGCCACAAAAUCUGCAUAUGCAUUGCAAUAUUUACAUGAAAAAUGUAAAAUUAUACACCAAGAUAUCAAGACGGAUAAUAUACUGCUUGACUAUGAAUUUGAGCCAAAGAUUCAGCAGAAGAUCAUUUCAAUAGGGCACAUCGAGACUGGAGAACAAUUGGGAGAUAUCUCUACGAAAGGUUUGAAUGGAGCUCGGGUUGACUAUAUUUG